rnacentral:rRNA from 1 species
GACGUAGGAGGCGAGCGUUAUCCGGAUUCACUGGGCGUAAAGCGCAUGUAGGCGGUUGCACAAGUCCGUUGUUAAAGCCCCUGGCUCAACUGGGGGAGGUCAAUGGAGACUGUGCGACUUGAGGGCAAUAGAGGCACGUGGAACUCCCGGUGUAGCGGUGGAAUGCGUAGAGAUCGGGAGGAACACCGGUGGCGAAGGCGGUUCUCUGGGCCUUACCUGACGCUGAGGAGCGAAAGCGUGGGGAGCGAACAGG